CCUACGGGUGGCAGCAGUGAGGAAUAUUGGUCAAUGGACGAGAGUCUGAACCAGCCAAGUAGCGUGAAGGAUGAAUGCCCUAUGGGUUGUAAACUUCUUUUAUAAGGGAGUAAAGCGAUGCACGUGUGCCUUUUUGUAUGUACUUUAUGAAUAAGGAUCGGCUAACUCCGUGCCCGCAGCCGCGGUCAUACGGAGGAUCCGAGCGGUCUCCGGCGUUUUUGGGUUUAAAGGGCGCGUUGAUGGGUUGUUCAGGCCGUUGGGAAAGUUUGCGGCUCAACCGGAAAAGUGCAGUUGAUACUGGCGGCCUUGAGUGGAGUAGAGGUAGGCGGAAUUCGUGGUGUAGCGGUGAAAUGCUUAGAUAUCACGAAGAACGCCGAUUGCGAAGGCAGCUUACU
rnacentral:rRNA from 1 species